AGCUGUCUAUAUCCUUGGAUGAGCUGCCAAUGGAUUAGAAACAAAGGCACCUGAAAGGCACAGACUUUCAAUGCUUGAGUGAAAGUAUCCCACCACAUUCUUUCUUUUUUAUUAUUAUUAUUAUUUUUUAUUUCCUCCUGGUACAGGAAGAACAUCUGAGGGAAGAAGGGGAAGCUAGCAAACCUCGCUGAUAUUGCUGUAAUGUGUGUACAUGCAGCAGUGGAGAACACUGCAGAUAUCUGUGUCUGGACAGGUUAAAAAAAAAAAUAAAAAAGAAAGGGGAGGGGAGGGUUAAUGAACUGUUAGGUGACUGAUGGCAUUUCUAACCCGAAGGAGAGCUGGCCGCCUCAGAGCUGAGGUUGGUGGUGUUACCCACAGUAACUGCUAGCUCGUGUUUGCGUGUAGUUCAUUUUUAUUUUAUUGUUCGGGUCAAAGAUAAGCCAGUGGCUCUGUUAAGUGUGGUGAAUAUCUGGGAAUAGCAGCGUGGUUCUGCUGAGCACCGCUGCCAAGACUAGAGCAAGCCAAGGGAGAGUGAUCCUUUUGUCAGGGACAGAAAUGUGGUCUGACACAACUUGCUUAUCAGAGGGAAAGAUUUUUCACUUCAGGAGGAAGUUUGGCUGGGAAUGCAUUGGAUAACAUUUCUCAUUUUUUCAGGUCUGCGGGAAGUCCUGUAUAAAUGAAUUUUCCAUUAGCAUAAUAGCUGUGUUACUGUCCCUCCUCUCUAGAGAAUGUGGAUGUGGGAAAUAACGUAAAGAAGACUAAAAUGCUCUUAAUCUAUGCGAGUCAGCAAACACACCUUGCAUGUUCACAGCCAGGAGCCAUUUGCCCUUGGCUCAUGCCAGAAUAGGCAAAAGCGGUUCUCUUUUUUUUUUUUUUCCUCCUAAUUUUUCAUUCCAGGAAUUUCUGAAGUUUCCAAGCCAUCGGGCUCUAGUUAAAUUAAAACCUGGUCUUCCUUUUGGUGAAUACUUUGUGUAAUUGGCAGUAUUUGUGUGGGUUCCGGCCUCAUCUUGGAUCACUUUGUUUAAACGUUGGGAGCCUACAUGUAUUACAGAGAACCUGCAUUAAUGAAGUUGAAGAGAUGUGUCUUCUAAUUGCAGCCAUGAGACUGGGAUUUGUUAGAUAUGAUUUUUGAGAGUUUUCUGGGAGUCUUCACCCAAGCCACUUAAUUUGUGUUUCCUCUCAUUCCUGUAUGUAAAAUGAGGAAAAAAUAAUACUUGAUGGUACUAGAAGAGAUCAGCUAGUGUAUGCAAAAAAGCCUAGAAAUAAAUAAAUGAGCUCCUGAGCAGCUAACAUGCCUCCCCUGCCAGCUCCUUGCAUGGUGGUAUACCAGCUGUGUAGUGGUGUCAGACCUUUUUCUGGUGGAAAACUAAAACCCAGCUCUAGUGCUAGCUCACAGGCCUGCCAAAGACCAAACAGGCACAAAAUGGACUAUUGUCUUCCACCUCCCAAGCAGUGGGAAUUAUUAACUUAUUAAUUAACUAGUAAUCACAUACAAAUAUAUAUUUUAUUAUAGUUAACAAGUAACAGUCGUUAUGUUUUAAAGCACCUGGUGGAAGAAAUCCGCGUUGGAUAAAGGAAGGGUGACGAAGUGCCAGCUCUGGACGUCCUUGGGUUUCGGCCUCGUGGUGCUGCGGUGUUGGCUAUAGUUUAGAAGCACACUGGCCUAAUUGUAUCUGGUAACACUUCCAGAGUUCUGCCGAUCUUCAGAAAAUCUCAUUUUUACAGAGUCACGGUAGUCUCUGGAAUAUUUCCCUGGGAUGAAGCUAUUUUAGCUGCUGCACUGGUGUCCAUUUAGCCUUGAUCGUGGAAUACUCGCUGGUCAUCCAACAGUACAGUACUUUCUGAAGCAGCGUUGCUAUUGUUUACACUUAAAAAGCAGCAGUUCCUGCCCCACAACGUGCUCGCCAUCUGAAGAAGUGCCACAGAACAAGGGGAGGAAGCAGCGGCAGAGAGCAGUCCUGCGGGCACUUGUGUGCGAUGACACAGCCGACGGCCAGGCUUAGGACCCAGAAGUCCUCGGCCGAGCUGCCUCCCUCAGCCGCUAUGUUCCCAGGAACAUGUGGGUGCUCAGAAGCCUGAUGCUGUGAAUGAACCAAACCAGGCAGCGCCUUUCAUCCAAACUCAUGACACAGGACAGUCGCAGGAAGGCUGGCAACAGAGCAUGCACUGAGGACUUGUACCUACAGAGGUGGCCAAAGUGGUCAACAGCACCCACAUCCCCGUUUCCCCGAGGUGCCUUUGGAGUUGCUGUCUGUCUGCAAAAUUGCCUUGAUAAGACCUUCUAUCUGCAGGUUUCUCAGCUCUGCAAGCACCAGUGCUCCCCACAGCGUCCCCACCCACCAAAUGAAUUUUGUCCCCAUCUAGCACAAGUCUAGGCUCUGGGUGCCUCAGAGAGCCAAGCCAUGGACUUUCAAAAUUGAGCACCCCAACAAAAGAUGACCCAAAUCUAAAGGACUUUUUUGAAAAUCUGAAUUCUAGCAACUUUCCCUGAAGCUACAGUGACUUGGCGUGAAACAAAACCUGUUUCACAGUGCAUGGAGACAGGCAGCUAAAUGUGUCAGUGCUCUCCCCACCUGAUGAUCUCAGCACUGAAAAACUGCUGUUUUUGGAAAACGUGGGUCCAAGCUCUCUGAAGCAUGGCUGGGAGAGGAACUGCAAGACCCAGUUGGGUGUCCUUCCCUGCCCUCCCCCCGGCUGGCCAUCUAGAUUAGGAUAAGAGCUGAGUGGGUUAUUUUUCCCAUGACUUUUUUUUUUUCAUACCUCUGCCAUGGAAGCAGGGUAACUGAUGGAAAAGUAAGUGACCUGAGCAGUUGCUGAAGGAACUGAGGUGUGGGGAAGUGAAGGAAGACAAACUGUCGGAGAGUAAUGAUUUUUGCUCAGUUUCUAAGUCAGUCUCCCUGAUCGUGACUGUGCGCUAAUUUAAAACAUCAAGAGCUUAAAAAAUGGCUGCCUAAACCUAAAGCCCUUCAAUGUAUAGAUAAGCAUCUAAGUAGAGGGCCUGUGUCAGUAUGUGGCAGGAGAUGCAUUCACUGCAGUGGGUUUGGGCUGGAUUUCUGAAAAAGCCCCAAGCGUCCACCAGCUCCCACUGAAGUCUCUGUUAAAAGUAUUUUUCCAUUUCCUGAAGUGCUGAAUUAUGGACUUAAAACCCCAACUUCAGGCAUCAGUUUGUCUGUGUGAAAGAUCUUGUAA